AUUCGCCAAACCUGGUUGAAAACAUUCAGCUGCUGCCCCUGCUAACCCCUAAACAGGCCCCUCCUGGUGCCCAUUGGCGUUUCUGGAAACAAAACAGACCUUGAUGUAAGGGAGCCACUGCCCGCAGCCCACAGGGUAGCUGGGGAGCCCCGCACCAGGCACACUCAACCGCAGCUUUGAGAGGUCAGCAUUAUCUUGAGUCGGCCUUAACAUGAGAUAACGUGGACAUUUCACUCGUCUGGCAGAUAUUUUUAGACCUUUGUCCAACUUUCGAAAAAAUGGAAUUUUGGAAAUGUUUUCUUUUAAACCUUUAACAUUCCUAGGCUGAUCCACUGCCCUAGUGAACCCGUGGUUUCCCCGCUGCGUUGAUUACGGUAAAAACGGCAAUCAUUCUGGGAAAUCUGUUCAGGUUUUUCCAAAUCCAGGGAGCCUCGCCUCCGCUUCCUGCGAGUCCCGGCACCAGGUGCUCGGGUCUUGUCAGGCCCACAGCCGGCCUCCUGCCUGAGCUACGACGUGACCCAGGUCCCUACCAGAUUCCUGGGUUCUUUCUACCUAACAAACAGACUGCGUUCUCUUUCGGUAUAAGCAGUGCCCAGGUGAUAAUUUAGGGAAUUAAAAAAGUCAAGUUUCCAAACAGUUGAGGUCACUUUAAGAAUUCAAAGGAUUUGAGACACCUGCGGGGGGGGGGGCGAAUCCCGUUCGCUCUGCCCUCCCCCAAGUCCGGAAAUGCCAGCUUAAAACGACAACCCGAGGCACUCCCAGGCUGGGAGGAGGCGGCUGAUACCUGGAUCUGAACCAGCUCAGUCCCUCCCGGACCCUUUGCCCCCCGGCGCCCUGGAGCCCUCACAGCUUCGGCGCGUGGGGCUCAGCGCGCAGCCCUCCAGCCUAUUGGCUGCUAGGACUGCGUGUGGGUGGGAGCCGGGUCUGGGGCACGGGGCGGGGGCGUGGACCCGGGUCCAGGCCGGAGGUGGGGGCCGGGGCCUGGGCCGGGGCCGGAGGGGCGGGGCCGGACGGGCGGGUACUCCAGCGAUUAGCCAAUCCGUGAGGACUCCGGUUCGCCCUGACUCCAGACCAGCCGGCGGGAACUGGGGCGCCGCUCUACUCCGCCCGAGUUCGGAAUUGGUAAAAGGACGGGCGGGAGCCGCAGCGGAAGCGCGUUUCCGCGGUGCGCUGAGGCUUGCGGAUCCCCGAGGAUGCGCGCCCUGCCAACCCUGGACGCGCCCCCAAACGAGCGGCUCCUGUUCCGGGACCUCGAGGCCCCCAGGGCCCGGGACGCGGCGGAGCCGGCGCGCAGGAGUGCCGUGGAGAGGCUGGCAGCCGACCGUGCCAAGUACGUGCGGGGUGCGCCGGGGGCGGGCCCAGGCCCGGUUGGCGAGGGCAACAGCCCCGAGGCGGUCGAAGGACAGACGGGCGACCCUCGGCCCCCGGCCCGAGUCUCCGGGCCCGUGGCGCGCAGGGCCAUAGCGCGGAAGCCCCUGAGGCCAGACUCGCUGGUCAUCUACCGGCAGAAAUGCGAGUUCGUCCGAGGGCCGGGAGCCGACGGCCCUAAGGGGAGCCUGGUGAAGAAGCUCUUCCAGGGACCGGUCAAGGACAAGACGGCCCCCGGCGUGCCCCACGUGGGAGAGGAGGGCAGGGCCGAGGAGGCUGCCCGGACUGAGCCCGGCCGCGUAGUGGCUCCCGCAGUCCCAGGGCCCCCGACGCUCCCGGAGCCCGCCCCGCCUGUCGAGGCGGCCCCCAGGGUCCCGGCUGCGCCCCGGGACCCAGAGCUCGAGGGGCCUCGCCCCGGGACCCUGCGAGGAGCGAGGCGCCGGGGACUGCAGCGCUCGCAGUCCGACCUCAGCUCCCGCUACUCCGCAUCCUUGGCCGAGUUCGACACCUUCUUCCAGUACUGCGGCUUGGAGCCCGAGGUGGUGGAGGCGCUGGGGAGGGAGAACUUCUCCGCGGCGUCGGAUCGCGUCGCCCUCAAGGUCCGCAGCGUGAGCGUCGCCACCUCCGAUAGCGGCUUCUCCCGGCACAGCGGCGGCGACGAGGGGCUGCAGGAGGACGAGCUGACGGAGCAGGGGUCCGGCACCACCUCCGUGGUGGAGAGGAACGCUCGUAUCAUCAAGUGGCUGUACACCUGUAAGAAGGCCAGAGAGGCCCCGGGCCAGGGGCUGCAGGGCCCGGCGUGACCCCUGCGCCUCGGUGACACCUGGCCCCAGGUGCGCUUCCAGGAAGGCCGGGAGGGGUGUCUGUGAGGGCUCGGAAGCAAGUCUUCCCGACCUCGGGGGCUCCUUGGAGCGGGUCUGGAUGACUGGGCGUCCAGGGCCACCCUCACUGCCGGGCUUGGUCUGAUGUACCCAGGUGUCCAUAUGCUCAUCGUUUUCCCAGGAAUAAAGCACACCAGCAAAGAAGCUUAAGGAAUUUUGGAAAAAGCUGGAAACGCAACGGAGCAGAUGGGAACGCAGAACUUGGAAAUUAGCUGGGUUAUAACUCUUGACACAGCUGAGGCUCUGGAAGAUGUUUUCUUGUGCUGGGUGGCCUAGCCUUGCUUCCAGAGGGGAGCAGAAAAGGGGAAAGCUGCCUCAAAAUAUUUUCUCGGGCAUCUUUUUGAGUAGCUUGCUGACAAAGAGGUGCCACGAUACAUUUUAAAAAUAUCUAAAUUAAUUUUAAAAAAACAAAGAGCAUGAAACUGAAGCAUGAAUGCCAUGGUAUAAGCCUCCGUGUGGACAGAACAUGGACUCAGGAUGUGGGGCGUGUGCCCUGGCCUUCAAUCUAAUUCACUCCCUGCCUAUCACACAGUCAUCCCAAAUGUGUCACCAGUUCACCCUUUGUGGAAAAAGGGUGUUUGAGACCAGGGGGUAGCCUCUGGGUGGCUGGGAGACUCGGGGACCAGAAUGUUGUCAGUAAGGUGUUCCUGGAACCUAAAUCUGAACUGGUGCAUGACACUCAGAGUAAAGAGAUUUCAGAUUCAGAAACUUCUGAGAGAAAUUUUCUAUCAAUGGUGAAAACCCAAGGAAAAUUUAUGACCCAGAGCUUGCAAUGUUUUAUCAAAAUAUGCCUCUUUGAGGAUAAAAUUAUUAGAAGAAUAGAGAGGGAAAAGAAAUUGCUUUCUCAAUAGUAAAAUAUCCUAUAAAUCAAUCUAUUUUGAUAUAGCCAUGUAUUUGUUUAAUAUUGCAUUUUUGUAAUUUUUACCGUGAGACUUGGUCCUUGAGUUACUUAAAUAUUUAUUUUUACAUAGCUAUUGGUCUUAAAUAGUAAUUCUACACUUCAUAUGGUUUUAGUUUUAAUCAGUAUAAUUUUAGAGCAUUCUCUCCUUGGUUAUCUUUUUGUAUAUGUUGUUUAACUAACUUUUCAACUGUUGACUGUAAGCAGAGUGUUCAGUACUCUAAAGUGCUCCAUAGCGUAGGGACUGGUUUUAAAUAACUUCACAGGAGGCAUUCUGAGAGGCUCUAUUGGCUGACGGAUGUACCUCUCUCCACGUAGACUAUUUAUACAGGUGAAGAUUUCCUGCUCUAAGAAAACUGUCCCCGUUGUUCCCCUAGGAAUGCUGCUGUUUUGCUGUUCACUGGGUUGCACUUAGUUGGAAAGAGAGUGUCAAGGGUGACGGUGUUUUCUCAGGAGGUUUUCAUAGAUGCAGUGUUCCCUUACUGGCAGUUCCACUGAUUUUGUGUGUGAACAUUGGAAGUAAAACUGUUAUGUGCCUUUCUACUGUCAGAAGAGGAUGGACUGAAACCUCAGUCAGAUUUAUCUAAGGUCAAAAUGCUGCAGGCUCAACCAUACCUAAUACGUAAAAAAAUGUAAAAACGAAUUGGCUACUGUUUAAAAGCACCAAGAUCAUCCAGAAGCAUUUGUGCCUCUGUGGAGGUGCCUGCUGAGAGGAGAUGUCAGAAGUGGGUAUGAAGCAGGAGCAGGGUGUCCCUAGACUCUGACAGGAUUGGGUUAACACUCCCUCUGGUCCAUUCAGAGUCACACUUCAGCAUCAGGGCUCAGUGUGUGCUUGGAGGCGAGAAGUCGUUUCCCAAUUCUGAAUUUUCCCAAUUUGCUGAGUGACUUGGAGCAAAUGAAACUUGACAGCUGAGUCUGAAUCAAAAAGCUUGUCAUUGAUGUUCACAAGGAUGCACAAUCAUUACUGCUGCAAAAUAGUUUUAUUUGUUCAUGAAAGAAUAGCAUAUGAAAUAAUAUGAUUAAACACCAAGGAAAGAAGAAAAUACUGAUAAGGAAAAUAGCUGGACGGUAUCUGUUUCACUAAUAUAUGGGUAGAGAUAAGCAAUGCCUCGGACCAAAAGGUAUUCACGUAACUGGAAGAGUCCUCAUAACGUGCCCGUGCAGGUAGUUUUUAACUCUUGGUCACUGACACUGGGAUCAAACGUUGCCCUUUUCAGUGGGUUAAAAGUACAGUCCUAUAGUUAUAGUUUGUGGGGCCAGACAAUUAUUAUGGCAGUUUCUAAACAGAGGUGUUUUUUUUUUUUCCCUACACACUACUUGCAACAGAAGUGCAAUAUUGCAUAUUCUGUAUUAAAAAAAAAUAAAGUCUUAUCAUUUAUUAAAGUUACUUUGUGAAUUUGUACAAUGUGAAAAAUUGAAGCCAGAGUAUGUUUAUUAUAAUUACUCAUAUCUUUUGUGUUCACUCUUUCUUCCUAAUAUCGUCUUAAUCGAUUAUCAGUAGGAAUGAGGAAAAUAUCCCAAAACUUGACCCAGGCAAGUCAUUUGGCAUCCAGAGUCUUCUAGAUGGAGAUGGAAUAUGCAAUAAAAACAAUUUGAACAUUUA